CGUGCUUCACAGCAUUUCUGCAGCUGCACUAAAUCACAGCAACAUCCCGCCCUAGACCGGGAACUGGACCUGUGUACCUGUCCUCCCCGCCCGCCCGUGGGGGUCGGCGCUCGGCCAUGCGCUCGGUGCGCACCACCAGCCCCCGAGGAACUUGCUUGUCUCUGCAUCCAGCCGCCUUGGGUGACACAAGUAAAUAAGCGCCUUGGCCACGACAGUGCUGUGCUCGCUUUGGCCGCGCUCACACUGGAAGCAGCGUGCGCAAAUGGGGAAGAGCAGAGAGCCGAAAACCGCCCUUCCUCUCCUCACGGUCGAAUGUCCGCAGGGAAAGCGCCUUCAGGGUUCCUGUGGACGGCUGAGCGAGACAGCCAUGCGGUCAUCAACCACUCCCUCUCGCUGCCUCUGGGCACGCAGCGAAUGAGGCACACACGAAACUCCCACGCCCCUUGGGAGGGGGACUGGUGGAUGAGCAGCGGUACUUACUACAAAAGCGGGAGGAGAGGAAGGAGGAAGGAACAGCGAGCCCAGACCGUCUCCUGGGUCUGCAGCCUCCACGCACACGAGCUGUCUGCUCAGAGCUCUAUCAUCACAAGUCAAGCUUCAGGACAUUCUGCAGUGAAGGGCAGUGCAGGCCCAUGGACACCUUUUUGACCUCAACCCCAACUGCCUCAUCUUCUCCUUGAGCUGGACAUGGAGCCUCUGAGCCAAGGCCACUCAGGUGAAUGUGUGCUACUUUAUGUGGCCAAACGCCGUGUCUGCUGUACCCCCAUGCCUGUGGAAUCCAUGGCCCCUGCAGAGCUCCCUGCUGGAUUUCUGGAUUUGCUGAUUCAAUUGAAAUCACGUGAGGCUUCCCCAACGCCAUUUUCUGUUCUAGUGCCAUUUUAAGGAUUAAGUUUCUGUUUCCUUAAGUUUGUUUCUUGUAAAUGUUGUCAUAGUUACCUAACCUGAUACCACCCAUGCUCUGCCAUAAGACUGCUUUUCCCCUAUGUAAAGUGUCAAACACCUGUGUUCCUUUGUCACAAGCUGAGAGUACAGGGGAGCACCACUGAGCCU
rnacentral:lncRNA from 1 species